UGGCGGAGAAGGGAAUCUGAACGGCGGGAGAGACAGGUGAAUUUAAAACUGCACGUGAGCGCUUCAAUAUCAGGUGGAAGAUACAUACAGAGAAUCAUUGAAGAUGAACACAGAGGAAAAACAAGAGCUCAAGUCAUCACAAGAUGAAACGAUGGACGUUAGCAGCGCUGUGACAGAUGAGAGGCCACAGGCAGAGGAGGAGGAGGGAGGAGAAGAGGCAGGGCAGACACAGGGAGAGGAAGAGGAGGCCCCAGAGAAGAACUCAGAGAGUGGAAUGGAGUGCUCGGAACCCACAGGAAACGAAGGAA